rnacentral:rRNA from 1 species
AACGAACGCUGGCGGCAUGCUUAACACAUGCAAGUCGAACGAGACCUUCGGGUCUAGUUGCGCACCGGUGCUUACCGCGUGGGAACCUGCACUUGGGUUCGCAAUCCCUCCCCGUAAGGUGUGCUCAUACCGCAUAAUGUCUUCGGACCAAAGAUUUUUCGCGUUUGGAUGGGCGCGCGUUGGUUUAGCGAGUUGGUAGUGUAAAAGCCUGGCAAGGCGAGGAUGCAUAGCUGGUCUGAGAGGAUGAUCAUCCGCACUGGCACUGAGACACGGCCUAGUCUGCUACGGGAGGGAGCAGAGGGGAGUAUUGGGGGAGGGGGGAAGGUGUAGUCCAGCAAUGCGGGGGGAGUGAGCAAGGCCGUAGUGUUGUAAAGUUCUUUUACACGGGAUGAUAAUGACAGUACCGGGAGAAUAAGCUCCGGCUAACUCCGUG